rnacentral:rRNA from 1 species
GACGAAGGAUGCAAGCGUUAUCCGGAUUCAUUGGGUUUAAAGGGUGCGUAGGCGGACUGAUAAGUCAGUGGUGAAAUCUCUCAGCUUAACUGAGAAACUGCCAUUGAUACUGUUAGUCUUGAGUACAGAUGAUGUUGGCGGAAUAUGACAUGUAGCGGUGAAAUGCAUAGAUAUGUCAUAGAACACCGAUUGCGAAAGGCAGCUGACAAAACUGUAACUGACGCUGAGGCACGAAAGUGCGGGGAUCAAACAGG